rnacentral:rRNA from 1 species
CAUGUGGUUUAAUUUCGAUGCAACGCGAAGAACCUUACCUACUCUUGACAUCCAGAGAACAUUCCAGAGAUGGGAUUGGUGCCUUCGGGAACUCUGAGACAGGUGCUGCAUGGCUGUCGUCAGCUCGUGUUGUGAAAUGUUGGGUUAAGUCCCGCAACGAGCGCAACCCUUAUCCUUUGUUGCCAGCGAUUUGGUCGGGAACUCAAAGGAGACUGCCGGUGAUAAACCGGAGGAAGGUGGGGAUGACGUCAAGUCAUCACGGCCCUUACGAGUAGGGCUACACACGUGCUACAAUGGCGUAUACAGAGGGAAGCGAGAGUGCGAGCUGGAGCGAAUCUCACAAAGUACGUCUAAGUCCGGAUUGGAGUCUGCAACUCGACUCCAUGAAGUCGGAAUCGCUAGUAAUCGCAAAUCAGAAUGUUGCGGUGAAUACGUUCCCGGGCCUUGUACACACCGCCCGUCACACCAUGGGAGUGGGUUGUACCAGAAGUAGAUAGCUUAACCUUCGGGGGGGCGUUUACCACGGUAUGAUUCAUGACUGGGGUGAAGUCGUAACAAGGUAACCGUA